AACGAACGCUGGCGGCAUGCCUAACACAUGCAAGUCGAACGAGACCUCCGGGCUUUGUGGCGCACGGGUGCGUAACGCGUGGGAACCUGCCCUUAGGUUCGGUAUAACUCCCUGAAAGGGGUGCUAAUACCGGAGAAUGUCAUCGGACCAAAGAUCUAUCGCCUUUGGAUGGGCGUGCGUUGGAUUAGCUAGUUGGUAGGGUAAAAGCCUAUUAAGGCGUCGAUCCAUAGCUGGUCUGAGAGGAUGAUCAGCCACGCUGGGACUGAGACACGGCCCAGACUCCUACGGGAGGCGGCAGUGGGGAAUAUUGGACGAUGGGCGAAAGCCUGAUCCAGCAAGGCCGCGUGAGUGAUGAAGGCCUUAGGGUUGUAAAGCUCUUUUACCCGGGAUGAUAAUGACAGUACCGGGAGAAUAAGCCCCGGCUAACUCCGUG
rnacentral:rRNA from 1 species